GUGUUUUCUGCUUUCACACUGACCAACAGUUACUUCAGUCUCUGCGAGAAGACUGCUGCUGAUUUUAAACAUUAUUUAUAUUCUUUGUGUCUUAUCCGUUUUACUAAACACAGCAGCUGCAACAAGUUAAUUCAAUACAGUCAACUUUCUGAUGAGAAGCUGAAGACUACGACAGCCAUGUUGUUGGCAGAAGCUGGAUGUGUGUUUAUGGGUUUCAUGCUGUGUUUCUCAGGGGUUCAAGGAAGAGCAAACAGCAUCUGUGCUUUAAAAGGUUCAUCAGUGGAUCUGCCCUGCUCAGCUGAACAUCCACCUACAACCAUGAAAUGGUACAAAGUACAGCCAAUUGGAUCUACAUUUAAUCUGAAGAACCUCCCUGCAGAUGACAGCCAUGUUAAGUACAUGUUGGGAGAGAACAACUUCAAUCUAACAAUCAAAGAUCUGACAGAGAGAGAUGCAAAACUUUACUGCUGCAGCAGCAAAGAGGAUGCAGGAACAUCCAGACAGAGUGAGCAAGGCAUGAUUGAGCUCCAUGUUGCAGGUAUGGUGACUGUCAGUAAUGAAUUACUUUAAGUCUGAUAUAAAUAUAUGAAUUCUUACUUUUCUUCCUCAUCAUCUCAGACCUGCAGGUGAAGGUGAUUCCCUCCACAGAGGGACACACAGUAACACUGAUGUGCAGCAGCAGCUGUCCUCUGACUGAAAACCCUGCAGCCUACAUCUGGUACAAGAACAGAGAGUUUCUCUAUGAGGACUGGUCUCCCUGGUACCAACAGCUGGUCAGCAGUGAGGAAGCAGUCACAUACUCCUGUGCUAUCAAAGGCUACGAGGAUCUCAGAGCCCCUCAAGUCUCAGUGGGUGAGUGACAACCAGUAACUCCUUACCAUGUUACCAAAACUAAACUGACCAAAUGUGUUAAUAAGAAAUAUUCCUGCACCAGAAACUUAAACUAUAACAUUUAUGACACAUGAUGAAAAGUCAACUAAAUUCACUAAAAACUGACACAAUUUCUUUUUGUCCAGAUUCUGUCACAUCAGCCUGCUUCAGUGUGACCUAUGCUAAAGGGAGAAUGUGUUCUUAUAAGCAGACAUCAGAGGAUGAGCCCUGCUCCAUCACAUAUCCAACAGAAGUGCAUGUUCAAAACACUCCUGCAGCUGAACCAUUCCAUGUCAGUCUGACCUGUAACACCAGCUGUCCUCAGACUGAUCUUCAGACUGCCUUGAGAGUGUACGAAAGCAGUAACUCAGAGGGACAGUAUGGGCUAAUAAACAAUAUAGUUCACUACUCAUCUCCGGAAAGCUUCUCCUGUGCUGUAAAAGGCCUCAAGGAUCUACACUCUGCUGCAGUCUGUGCUGAAGAUAAGAAAUGUUGGAGUGUGAAUUAUGUCAGCAGGAGAAUCUGUGCUGUUCACGGCUCCUCAGUGAACAUUUCAAGUGAAUAUUCUCAUCCUGACAACCAGCAGCCCCAGUCUAAAUUAUGGUAUAAAAUAAUCAGAAGUGGUACAAAGGAGACUGAAAAGCCUAUUGAAGUUGCAGGUCGUGUUGAGUAUGAGUAUGAAAACAUGAACAAUCAUCACAUCCUGUCAAUUAAAGACCUGACGAGGAAUGACUCAGCAGAAUACAAAUUCAAGAUCCAGACACACGACGAAUGGAAACAGUCAGAUUUUUCUGGAGUGACAUUGGUUGCCACAGGUAGUUCUUUAGAUUAAAUACAUUAUUUUUGAAUAG
rnacentral:lncRNA from 1 species